CCCUGGGCUCCAGGCUCCAGGCCCCUGGCCUGGCUGGUUGGCUUUGCAUGGUCCCUGGCUGGAGACUCAUGCACAGGGGUCAGCAAGGCUCUGAAAGACAAGGCUCAUGUGGUUUGCCAGUCAUCUCUGCGUCAUCAAAACGCCACCCCAGAGCAUUCUCUCAAGUCACCUGGCCAUCUCUGGCGUUUGCUGCCUCACCCUCCUCCUCCCCCAGCAGCAGAAAGGCUGCCUUGUUGGGCAGAGACCUCCACCCCAGACCCAGACCCCUAUGUGACCCUGCCUGGUGCAGGAGUCCCAGCAGAGGAGGACCCCUUUCCUGAGGCCAGGGUGCUGAGGGUUCCAUGAGCCAAGAGCCCACCCCUCUCCCUAGAGGUGAGAGGAAACUGAGUCCCAGGCAAGGCUCCAUGAGUGAAGUGGGAAGAAACAGGCUUCUGAAGGCCUGGGCUUGGACGAGUGUGGACGUCCUGGGCUUGUGAAUUCCGCCCCCUCCCUCCUUUCUCUAAUCAAAGACACACUCGCAGGAACUUGGGUUUGAAGGGACAGCCCAGAAGGCACCAUCUCCACUCCCCAAACAGGGGAGAGGAGCCUGAAUGAGAGGUCCCUUGGGGACACCGAGGACCUGGUGCGCUGCUGCUCCUUUGCCAGAAGCUCCCCCACGGCUACAUGGACUGA